rfam:Triticum urartu cultivar G1812 contig1207439, whole genome shotgun sequence.
UUACUGCUCCCUCCGAUCCAUAUUACUUGUCUUAUAUUUCUCUAGAAACAUAUGUAUCUAACACUAAAAUAUGUCUAGUUACAUCCUUGUGAAGGCAAAUCUAAGACAAAUAAUAUGGAUCGGAGGGAGUACUUU